CCUACGGGUGGCAGCAGUGGGGAAUAUUGGACAAUGGGCGAAAGCCUGAUCCAGCCAUGCCGCGUGUGUGAAGAAGGCCUUCGGGUUGUAAAGCACUUUCAGUGGGGAAGAAAGCCUUGGGGCUAAUACCCUCGAGGAAGGACAUCACCCACAGAAGAAGCACCGGCUAACUCCGUGCCAGCAGCCGCGGUAAUACGGAGGGUGCGAGCGUUAAUCGGAAUUACUGGGCGUAAAGCGCGCGUAGGCGGUCUGAUAAGCCGGUUGUGAAAGCCCCGGGCUCAACCUGGGAACGGCAUCCGGAACUGUCAGGCUAGAGGGCAGGAGAGGAAGGUAGAAUUCCCGGUGUAGCGGUGAAAUGCGUAGAGAUGGGGAGGAAUACCAGUGGCGAAGGCGGCCUUCUGGACUGACACUGACGCUGAGGUGCGAAAGCGUGGGUAGCAAACAGGAUUAGAUACCCCGGUAGUC
rnacentral:rRNA from 1 species